rnacentral:rRNA from 1 species
UACGUAGGAGGCAAGCGUUGUCCGGAUUUACUGGGCGUAAAGCGCGCGCAGGCGGCAGUGCAAGUAAGGUGUGAAAUCUCCCUGCUCAACGGGGAGGGUGCAUUUUAGACUGCACAGCUAGAGGUCGGUAGAGGGGGGGUGGAAUUGCUGGUGUAGCGGUGAAAUGCGUAGAGAUCAGCAGGAACACCCGUGGCGAAGGCGGCCCCCUGGGCCGUACCUGACGCUGAGGCGCGAAGGCUAGGGGAGCGAACGGG